rnacentral:rRNA from 1 species
CCUACGGGUGACAGCAGUGAGGAAUAUUGGUCAAUGGGCGCGAGCCUGAACCAGCCAAGUAGCGUGAAGGAUGACUGCCCUAUGGUUUGUAAACUUCUUUUAUAAAGGAAUAAAGUGAGGCACGUGUGCCUUUUUGUAUGUACUUUAUGAAUAAGGAUCGGCUAACUCCGUGCCAGCAGCCGCGGUAAUACGGAGGAUCCGAGCGUUAUCCGGAUUUAUUGGGUUUAAAGGGAGCGUAGGUGGUUUGUUAAGUCAGUUGUGAAAGUUUGCGGCUCAACCGUAAAAUUGCAAUUGAUACUGGCAGACUUGAGUACAGUUGAGGUAGGCGGAAUGCGUGGUGUAGCGGUGAAAUGCUUAGAUAUCACGAAGAACUCCGAUUGCGAAGGCAGCUUACUAAACUGUAACUGACACUGAUGCUCGAAAGUGUGGGUAUCAAACAGGAUUAGAUACCCUUGUAGUC